rnacentral:rRNA from 1 species
GACAGAGGGUGCAAACGUUGUUCGGAAUUACUGGGCGUAAAGCGCGUGUAGGCGGCUAAGUAAGUCGGGCGUGAAAUCCCACGGCUCAACCAUGGAAGUGCACUCGAAACUGCAUAGCUAGAGUCCUGGAGAGGAAGGUGGAAUGCUUGGUGUAGAGGUGAAAUUCGUAGAUAUCAAGCGGAACACCGGUGGCGAAGGCGGCCUUCUGGACAGUGACUGACGCUGAGA